GUCCACGCCCUAACGAUGUCAACUGGUUGUUGGGGAGUGAAAUCCCUUAGUAACGAAGCUAACGCGUGAAGUUGACCGCCUGGGGAGUACGGUCGCAAGAUUAAACUCAAAGGAAUUGACGGGACCCGCACAAGCGGUGGAUGAUGUGGAUUAAUUCGAUGCAACGCGAAAACCUUACCUACCCUUGACAUGUCCAGAACCCUGCAGAGAUGCGGGGUGCCCGAAAGGGAAUUGGAACACAGGUGCUGCAUGGCUGUCGU
rnacentral:rRNA from 1 species